rnacentral:piRNA from 1 species
UAACAGCUGGAGAAAUGGCUAGGCAGUUA